GUCGCUUUACCCUGCCCUUCCUUCUACGAGAUCACUUGUCUUCGGUUCCAUUUCAUCUUCAAGCUUCAGCGUUCUCUCUCUUCAGCCACUUAAAAGUUCUGAACUUUGCUUCCGUCGAUCCACUGCUAGAAGACCUCCUAACACCACCUUCGUAUUUUCAUUCAAAACUUGAAGCAAGGAUUCCUGUUUUUUCAGAAAGAAGAGACCCGCCUUCGGAUUUGGUCCGAGUCCGAGACCGAUUCCACUCGUCCGUCGUCAACUCUGUCUCUAGGGUCUUCUAUCCCUAGAUCAGUGCUCUAUCUUUUAUAGAAAAUGUCACGAGCUGAAGAACUAUGGGAGCGGUUAGUACGUGCAUCGUUAAGUAGGGAAAGGUUAGGCACUUAUGCAUAUGUGCAUCCUGGUAUUGGCAUUGCUGGAAAUGUACCAUCUUCGCUUGCAAAAAAUAGGGAUCUUGAUGAAAUUUUGAGGGCUGCGGAUGAAAUUCAAGAUGAAGAUCCCAAUAUUUCUAGAAUCUUAUGUGAGCAUGCUUAUUCACUGGCUCAAAACCUGGAUCCUAAUAGUGAAGGAAGAGGUGUUUUACAAUUCAAAACUGGACUGAUGUCAGUCAUCAAGCAAAAACUAGCAAAGGAGGUUGGUCCAAUAGAUAGAAGUCAAGACGUUGCACGGUUGCAAGAGUUCUACAAACUGUACAGAGAGAAGAAUAAUGUGGACAAGCUACGAGAAGAAGAAAUGAAGUUGAGGGAGUCUAGUGCUUUUAGUGGAAACCUGAGCGAGUUGGAGCGAAAGACGGUAAAGAGAAAACGGUUGUUUGCAACUUUAAAAGUUAUAGGGACGGUGCUGGAACAGUUGACCAAGGAGAUUCCUGAAGAGCUUAAACGGAUGAUGGAAUCUGACACUGCAAUGACUGAAGAUUUAAUUGCUUAUAACAUUAUACCAUUGGAUGGUCCGUCCUUAACAAAUGCCAUUGUGGAUUUGCCUGAGGUGCGAGCUGCAGUGUCAGCUUUAAAGUACUUUGGGGGUUUACCAAAGGACAAGAAAUUUAAAUAAGUAGCUGGUGCAUCGGCCAUGUUGCUAUUCCCUGUGGCUUCAUGCCAUAUAGUGGAGUCACCAAUGCCACAAUUAAGAGUACUUUCAUGCCAGGUUCAGGUGAGGAAGGACACAUUGAACUAGAUAACUCUGAAGAAUGACCAAGUGAACUUCCCUGCUGACCUCCACAAACAAAGACCGAAGGGAAAUGGAUGAUUGGAAUGGGAGGAGCUUGAACCCCUUCUGUGAGCCAAUCAUUGUAGUAUACCGCAAACUGGUUAGUACCAAAAUCAAGAAUCUCAUUAUACACUUGUUCAAGAAGCUUCAGUUUCCUUGGCCUGCUUGGUGUAUCUGCUAGAGAAGCAGCUUGCUCGUCGUACCAUGCCUUCAAAUGUGAGAGCUGCGGAGAAAAAAGAUAGUCCCAUAGUUCAGGUAACAAAAUUGUUCGUGCCUGAAAAGGUGAAUGCAAAAUAUUUGCAAAAGAUGCUUUGCUGCAGUCCUCUGUUUUUCCUUUAGUUUAUAUACCACGCUGAGGUAGAGAUGAGCACAAGCUGACAGCUUAAAAUUAGGAAUUCCAGAUGUGAACCCAUCCAUCAAACCAUUCGAAUAUAACCCUGUAAUUACACGCAACUUCAAAGAAGCCCUUUGCAAUUCGUUAGCCUUAGAGGAGCUCAGCAGUUAUUUCUACUGCUUCAAUGGCUUGUUCAAGGCUGGCCAUGACCUUGCUCUCAGUACUGUGCCCUUCUUCAAGUCCAGUAAAUUUAAGGGAAGAAAAGUAGUUGUGAUGCAGAGUAGUACGAAAUUCCUCAUCGUUUAGAAAGCAUUUAAUAUAUCCAUUUAGGAUGGAGACUAUGGCUUGGAUAGCAACUUUUUCAAGAGCAGGCUCUGAAAUUACUUCUUCAACUUUGUCACGUUUUGUACUCUGGUUAUCUUCGAAGCUUUUGCAAUUCCAUGAAUGUCUCUUACACGUUUCAUUCGAGUUUAUGGGCUUUUGCAUGCUCUUCCUAUUUGUGGCACCAAAACUCAAACGUCCAAGCAUCUGUUCUGCCAUGUUUUUCCCAUUCAACUUAUCCAAUCUUUUAUCCCUCCCUGACCUCUCUUUGUAUGCUUCCUUUUCCCUGCAUCCAUUUGAAUACUUACCAGUCUCUCUCUCUCUGAGCUAUAAAAUUUAUUUGAAUAUAUAAUCCUGAAACUCUCGUCAUCCUGCCUAUGAUCCUCUAUUUCAUUUUGUGGCAUGUUUCUGGAUAAGUUGGGACGAAAACUUUUCCCUUCCUUGAUAUGGCUAAAACGCCUCUCUCUACUUUCUUUCUUCAAGCCUUCAUAUUUCUUUUCCAAAAACUUAUCCCUUGAUCACCUACCCCUACUGUCAUUUGGCGGUAAUUCACUUCUCGAACUGUGCCGAGCUACCUCGGACCUUGCCCUCUCCAUCUUAUAUCUAUGUCCCAGUACAGAAUCAUUCUUGUAUUGAUCUCGGGAAGUGUAAGAAGACAUUCUUGCAGCAUUAAAGGAUGAUCUAGCCAAUGAUCUUACUUUAAACCCUUCCUCCACAAGAAGCUCCUCCAAAGAUAAUGCCAUUUCUGUUGAUGUUAGAAACUCCACCACACUAGAAUAAAGGAGAUCACAGUGAAAAAGGUUUAUGUACACAUGAAUUGAAAUAAACAGCCAUUAGUAAGUCAGGAAGACCGUAUGUACAAGGGAUUAUGACAUUGCCUCCUGAAGAUUAUUAUAGAGGAAAUUUUAUUUCCUUGAGUUUCUUCUUGUUUUCUGACUGUAAGGAAGGAGAAUGUUAUCAUGGAAUUACUCAUUUAGUAUUAACUACUAGCAAAUCUGUUACGGUGAA